rnacentral:lncRNA from 1 species
GCAAACCCCUCCGUGAUGGGGAUAACCUUCUCCAGCCAGACGUCCUCCGCAGUGAUGGCCAUCCGCCGGUGGGUGUACACGUAGAUCGCGUGCCGCCCGCCGCGCUCCACCAGGCCCAGCAGUCGGCUCUCCACGCUCUGCCCCACAGCCACGGCUCCCUGCACGGCGUGCGGUGUGGGUCAAGGAACGGCAAACCGAGAUGGGAGUCGAGGGGGUCAGAAGGGGGAGAGAGAAAGAGGGAGCUCCGCAUCCCUCCCCUGGACGCGCACAGGGCAAAGGAUAUGAUUCGACACGUCGCCCCAUCGAGAAGCGUCUCCUGGAUGGCCACCGAUUGGUCCAUCCUCCGUGCCCGCGGGGUGGGGGUCAGCGAGCAGCUCGGGGGGACCGGGAUGGGGGUCGGGAUGGGGGUCGGGACCGCGAUGCGGCCGCGCUCGGUGCCGCCGUUGCUGGGAGCCGCCGCCGCCGCCGCCGCCGCCGCCGCCCUGUCGCCCCUCUCCCCGCCCCGCACUCCCGGCCUGCCGCAGGGCUCCGUUAACCCUUCGCUCGGGAACGGCUCCGGCCGCGGGGAUGGGGCUGCGCCGGUGCGGCCCCGGGGGCUGUCCGGACUUCGGCCGCCGUUGCCGGAACCGCCGCCCUCCGCCCGGACAGAGGCUCGCAAAGCGCCAGGAAGCGACAGAGCAUCAUUUCCAGCUCCGCUGGACGGGACCGGGAAGGAUUUUUAAACGGGAUGCUGCUGAGUUAAUGGGGCGGAGAGCCGGGAGAGCAGCGGGAAGGGCUGAGCAGAAGCGGAGUACGGUCGGGGGGGGCACGGAGCGUUCCCGAGCUGAGGGUACCGCGUGUACAGAGCCGGGCCUGCGGCAAUGCAGAGCCGCUGACUUCCUACUGCCAUCAGGAGGGGCUCUUUUUGCGGUAGGACCUGGAAUGUUUUGUUAAAUGCCGUGACCCAGCUGACUUCCGAGCUUUAAUCAUGCAAAUAACUGCUGCGGAGGGUGUGAGCAGGUGCUGGGAAAUGUCAGCAGGCGCUGACGUGCCGAACAGGGGAGCUCGGUGUGAGUCAGCCCUUUCUGCUGCUGUAGAAGUAACGGCAAAGUCGAGCAGAUAUGGAAAAAGCAGCAGUCUGUGCUUUCUGCUCCCUUCUCAGAACAGAUAAAAGACUGCGAAGAGGAAAUGAAAGGAGAACAGUGAGAAAGAUCUGCUCCAAUCUCCAGAGCGCUCCUCCUUACAAGAAACGUGGUGUCGUGAGUCGGUUCUGAAACAGAAACAUCUUUGAGUUCCAUCCCGUUGUCACUUUCUGCCGAUAGACUGAUGGGGCAACACCCCCCAGCCCGUGCCAUGGCUUUGGUGCAGCAGCACUGCAGCGUGGAAGGGCCAAUGAUGGCUGCACACUGCCUGGCCUCAGCCCCACAUCCACUGUGCAGAGCUCCCAGCAAAGCCAUCCUGCUGCUGUCCCAGCACAGCCCUACAGCUGGGAUCCCCUUCCCACCACAUCCCUGGAGCUGAGCUGUGCCCAAAGCAGCCCGACAUCAACCCAAGGGACUGAAGCUUCUCUAUUAUUGUCAUUAUAUUUUAUUUUCUUAAAAGAGAGCAGGAAGAGGACAGAAUGUGUUUGCACAGUGGCACCACAGAGCCAUUGCCAGCUGUCUGGCUGGGAGCCAGCUCCUGUUACAGACUCACGCUCGUGUCUCUGCUCUACAUUUACCCAUAGAGAAUCAUAGAUACGAAACAGGACGGUCUAACACGAUGCUUUUAGCUCAGCCCCAUUGCCCUGUCUAAGACCUGGAGACAAAACAGUACAGCCUACUGGGACAGGACGUAUCAUUUAGAAACUAAGUGGGUGUUCAGACAGUUGCGGUGCAAACACGUUGUAACUACACUGUGUAAGCUGUGCCUUGGGUCAAGGCAGAGGUUCCUGGGUUCCGAGCUGGCUCAGCAUCCUCUCGCUCCUACACCUGAGGUCUCUCCUUCCAGCAUCUGCCAUCCCUGCAGCACAGAGGCUCGAUGUGUAGUGGGGAUCACCUGCAUGGAGGGAGAAAUCACCAUCUAUGAGUUCCAGGGCACCUCGCUCCUGGCAUGGGGAUGCAACAGAGGGUGUUUGAUAGCGACCUCAGCUGAAAUCAAGGAGGGGAAAGGCUGCAGGGCUGCUGCUUACCCAUGGAGGGGAGUGGAGGCCCUUCGGCUCAAGAGGAGGGCUGCCCCACAUGCCAGGAGCUGCAGCAGCGAGGACACAGCCACCUGCCCAGCACCAUUCACAUGAACUUUGCCAUCCAGCUUUAAGCAGCUGCCCUUGGGGGUGGCGGGGCAGCACUCCUGGAAACAGGCAGCCUUCACCCCCCGGGCACAGACAGGCUUGGCAGCCUUGCAGGCUUUGCUGCAUCCUGCCACAUAAUUGAAGCCCGUCUUCUUCAUCUGGAAGGAGGAGAGAGAUUGACCUGCUGGUCCUGCCCAGCCUCUGGCAUUUGCAUUGAGGGGAUGCACGCAGACUCCAGCACAUCCCACCUGUCCUGUCCCAGCCGUACCUCGCAGAAAUCAUGCCCAACAAAGCAUCUAGCUGUGCUCUUCUUGCCUUUGAAACAUCCAUCCCCAUGGCAGGAGAAUGCUGCACAGAUUUUCCCCUGCAAGACAAGACCAGAGGAGACCUGUGCAGGUGUGGUGCAGGCAGCAGGAUGCCCAGGGCCAGAUCUGGACCUCAGGCAGCCCUUCCUCCCACAGUGCCCUCCCAAACCCCCCCUAUAUCUCAGCAUUUGGCAUCAUCUGUCUCCAGCUUUUCAUACUAAGAGAUAAGAGAGAGCUCCCAUCUGCCACUGCAGGAAACCUCACUGCAACACCACCACGAGUUUCAAACCUCCUUUUCCUUCCUCUCAGCAACGCUGUGCAGAGAUAAAGCUCCUUCCACCCCAUCACUUGGGUGCCCCAGCACCACCCCACCCCUUCUGUGGCUCGAGGAGGCUUUGUCCCACAGCUGCCUUGGGCUGCUUGGAGCAUUGCAGACGGUGUGCUUAGCACCCUUACAUCUUGCAAAGCUCAUUAAGGAUUUGUUCCCCUUUCGAGGCAGCUUUCGCACAAAGAUCACAUCGGGUACCUACAUUUCGUGGGGGGGGGCGUGGGGUGGUGGUGGUGGUGAUGGUGGUCGUGGGCAGCACGGUGGUGGGGGGAAGAUCACCUGUGGGCACAGAGGAGCCCUGAGGACACAGCCCAUGUGCAGCCUUCAUGUCCACACGCUGGGGCAGAGGAACCACAGCGAUGCAGCCCAGCACGAUGGAUCCGCACACCCAUUUCUGUUGCAUGCAGCGGGAUAAACCAUGGAGCAGUUACCAUAGGAGCUUGCAUUGAGCUGCAGGCAGAGGGAGGUGUUGCAGCAUUCCAUGGUGCACUGCUGUAGGGUCACGCUGCCAUUGGUCCUGCACAGCUCUGCACUGCACACACUGCUGCAUCUGGCGGUGUAGUUCAUGCUGGAGAAACGAUAAAGCUGCAACAGCAGAGCCAAAGGAAAAAAAAGAAACCCACUAGAAGUGCGAAGAGAGGCCAUUACAGAAGAGCAAAAAUAAUGGACAGAGUGGGAGAGUGGCGAAGGAAAAUCAGGUGUUGUGCUCACAGCCUCCAGCAGCCGCUCUAAGCUCCAUACCUCGCAGAAGGUCUCAUUGUAGCAGGUGGUCGUCAUGUUGCUGUGGGCCUCAUCCUGGUAACACCUCUCCCCGGAGCACUGGAAGCUUUGACAGCUGAGCUGGGGGGAGGACAUGCCAGGGGGUCACAGCGCAGCAGAGCUUCUGCAUGGCCAGCAUCCCCCUUCCCUCUCCUUACCGGGGUUUGUUCUGUAUGGUUCAUGGAGGCGUUGGCAGCCACUGAAGCCUGGCUGAUGGACACCCAAGUGGUGGUGGCGGUCACUGAGGUGUGGUUGGAGGCAGCCAUUGAGGCACUGGCGGUAGCCACUGAGGUCUGGUUGGUGGCCACCCAUGCCUGAUUGGAGGUGGCUACUGAGGCACUGGUGGCAGACACUGAGGCCUGAUUGGUGGCUACUGAUGCCUGGUUGGAGGUGGUCACUGAGGUCUGACUGGUGGCCACUGAGGUCUGGUUGGUGGCCAUGGAUGCCUGGUUGGUUGUGGACAUUGAGGCACUGGUGGCAGCCACCGAGGCAUGGGUGGUGACUAUGGACAUGUUGACCACUUUGCGCCCUAAAAAAAACACAAAGUUCCCCCUUGGUGAAGGAAAUAGCAUCCAUGUGGUCCCCCAUCCCAAACAAGAACAAAGAUCUGCUUGCAGCCAGCAGGGAGGAGCCUGCCCAGCGGGUCAGAGAUAAUCGCUGACUAUGGAAACGUUACAGCAGCUUCUCCCUUCCCCUUCGAGGCACAUUGCAUAGGAGAUACAGCCAUUUCUGGGGUCAAAACCUCAAGAAGAUUUCCUGAGCACAGCUCUGUCCAAUAGCUUACAGCCAAGAGGGGACAGGGAUGUUGUCCCAUCACACCAAGUUGCCUUUGCCCCAUUCCCAAGAGGAUCCUCUGCUGUGCACUCACCUGCUAUGGCAAGAGGGCCCUGGGUGCAGAAUUGCAGAGCCAAGACACAGAGCAGCAGGCCUGAAACAGAGCAGAGACAACUGGGACCAUCAGAGGCCAAGUUCAGCCCUGGCAGUCUCCCUGGGAGAGCAGGGAUCCGUGCAGGCUGUGGGGUAGCAGCUCUGGGAUGGACACUGCUCAGAGCCCCCAUUACCUGGAGUAGGGAAGAGCUGCCGGUGAGCUGCCAUCACCCCCACCAGCAACCUCAGCUGGGACCUGGCAGAGAGAUGCAAUCAGAACUGGGCAAUCAGAACCAGCUCAUCACCCAGAAGUUAUCCUUGUCUGGCAUCAGAGACCAAGAGGCAGGCUCUUCCAGUCUCGGUUGCAGCAGGAGAAGGCUGAACAAGCACUGAGGGAUCCAGGGAGCACUUCUCCCUGUGGGCUCAGACCCAGGGCUCAGCCCAGCCCUGCCAAACAGGAGCCCCCUGGGAGGCCAUGUGCUGCUGUUGGUGUGGUAACUCUCCACCCCUGUGUAACACAGAGCCGUGAACAGCACCAGCUUGGCACCACACACAGCAAACUGCUGAUGCUGUUGUAAAUGAAGAAGCUGCCCCAGCUCAGGAUGGUGCCACACACAUCCCCGUUGCAUGGAAUUCUGAAUCCAGUUGUCUGCAUUGCCUCCCAACACCGACCCCUUGCACUGCUCACACCACACGUGGGGAAGUUCCACCUCCUUUGGUGUUUCCUGAGAUACACUGCUCUCCAUUGAAUGAAAGCAGACAUCUUCCUUGCAAAAUCUUUGCCAGUUUAAAUAAGGAAGCAGCAGAGAUGACUCCAAACAUGCUCCAAGGCUGCUUUCCAAAUACCCCCCCUUCUGCCUUAGGAUUUAAGCUCAGAUAGCAUUCCCAGGGCACUCUUUCAGAAUGACAGAAAACAAUACAGGCUGGAGUUUCUCACCUCACAGAGCAGGGCAGCCCCCCAACCCAGGCCAGGUUAGGACAGCCCUUACUGAGGCUGGUACAGCUCCAGCACAGCCAGACCCACCUCCAGGACAGGCUAAGAACAAACCAGAAAAGGCUCACCCUGAAACAAGCUUCUCAACCCCAAGCAGGGAAAGGAAUCUGCUCACAGACUCACCCUCUGUGUCCGUGCCCUGAAAGCCCCUGCACACCAGAGGAAGCCUGCAGCUGCUGCAAGAGAUGGAGAGCCUCUGAGCACCGAGCAGCUACAGCACCUGCAGCACCUGCAGCACAGCACAUGCCCUGGUGGCAGUGAGCAGCCCCACCCUGCCAACCACCAGCUGCGCAAACCGUCACCCAGGGAGAAGGGUUUGUUACCUGCAGCCCUGCUGGAUUUGGAGAUGCAAAUGUCCAUGCGCAGUGACAACUGAGAAAAGGAUUUUCAAGGCAAGAGAUGUCGCGCCAGCACGUCUAUGCCAAAAUGAAAGCCCACUGUAGGCAGUGUGAGGGCUGCCAUAAACCCCAAUGCCUCUGCCCAGUGCCUCUUUUCUCCUCACAGGACUUUAAUUCGUGUGGUAGUAUCACAGUUCAAGAGAACCAAAGGAAGGAUCUGUGCUAGCAUCUACCAGGCCUUCAAGUCAAUGCCAGUGCUGGACAAACUAACACAAACUACCCACAUGGCAGCCCAUCCUAAACAAAGCUCAUUUAUUUGUUCCCUGAAAAAAAUCCCAGUAGCCAAAGCCUCACAGGAAGCCAAAGCAGCAGUGCAAGCCAAAUAUCUGCUCUGCAAAGGGGCACAAAGAAAGACAUUAAACUAUGACAUAGUACAAGACCAUUAUGCAUUGGCAGCAUGCAAUGCUGAUGUAUGUGCUUUAAAGAAGGCAGUCCUCAUCAUAAAAACUUCCAUCAGCACUGGAAUAAGAGAGAAGUAAUUGUUUCUAACAAUUCAAACUGUGUAGAAAGUGUUUGAAUAAUACCAUCAUCAAAUCUCCUCCUUCCAGCAUACAAAAGGAGACACAUUUUCAGCAUUUCCUAAGUUAAAAUCAAUUUAUUUUUAAGGUGUUUUUUUUUUUUUAAUAUAAAAUAACAUCACAAGACUGCUUUUCACAAAGGGCUUACUAGAAAGCGAUUCUAUAAAGUAUCCUAUGCUCAUGCAAAUAGAAAAAUCCAUAAACUGAAGAAGAACUGGAGCUGGUGACACUUCUCCUUUCUUUUUUCUGAUGUGAAAUCCUUCACCUGGGAAAAGUUACAGCAGCCCUUGACGUUUCAAGUCUUCGUAGGUCUUUUUAUUCACCACAUUCCCACUGGAGUCCUCAUAUUCCUCCUCUGUAUCAGGCUGCCACCUCUCUGAAGCCUUCUGCAGUUUCAGCUUUGCCCACAGUGAGACAGCAUCCUCAAUCUGUGUGACAUUGGCAAAAUGUGCAGUGUUGGGAAUGCCCAGGCAUCUCAUUCCAUGAGCAUGACGCCACUCUGCAAAAUGGCGUUGAAAAGCUUUGGGCCCUCGGUAGGUGUAGUUACCACAAAUCUCACAGUUGUAGUUGAUGUUUAAACCAUGUAGUUUAUAUAACCAGUAUGGGAUUGGCUUGCCAUCCCAACCAAGGGGCAGAUUUUUAGGAUUAUAAAUGAUUUCAUUUUCUUCAUCUUCACUCUCACUCUCACUGAUCUGCUCUUCUUCCUCCUCCUCCCUCUCUUCCCCUGUCCGUGCUUGCUUACGUUGCACAUUCUCAUGAGUAAGGUGUCUCUGUUCCCCAAGAACUUCUACAUAUUCA